GAUGAAGAACGUAGCGAAAUGCGAUAAGUAGUGUGAAUUGCAGAAUUCAGUGAAUCAUCGAAUCUUUGAACGCACAUUGCGGCCAUAGGUAUUCCUUUGGCCAUGCCUGUUCGAGCGUCAUUUACACCCUCAAGCCUAGCUUGGUGUUGGGCGUCUGUCCCGCCGUUUUCGCGCGCGGACUCGCCUCAAAGUCAUUGGCGGCGGUCGUGCCGGCCCCCUCGCGCAGCACAUUUGCGCUUCUCGGAGGCCCGGCGGAUCCGCGCUCCCGCAAGACCUUUCACGACUUGACCUCGGAUCAGGUAGGGAUACCCGCUGAACUUAAGCAUAUCAAUAAGCGGAGGA
rnacentral:misc_RNA from 1 species